rnacentral:sRNA from 1 species
CUCCCCAAAGUGGCCAGAAUUUGUCUCGGCCCUCAAAUAUAAAGGCUUGCAUGCCUAUCUGGGUUGAAUGCCUCGCCUAGAAAUACUGCCCACAGUUUCAUUUAUAUCCUAAAUCCAAGGCUGUGGCGUUUUAGAGUUAAAGUCCGACAAAUGGCCGUUCCAUGCCGCUUAAUAGAUUAUUCAACAUACAUCCAUCACAAAAGGUUGUGUACUUUCCCCAUUUUUUUUUCGGGUGCCAAUAGAUAGUUGAGAACACUGAGUUUUCGAGAUUAGAGAGAUCAGCAAACAUAUUUCAGAUGUCAUUGACAUACGCAAUAUUUACGACGUCGGAUGAAUUCGAAAGUUGGAGGUGCAGAUGGAAACCUCCAAUUUGGCGAUGCAAAAUGGAUUGAGUGAGGAGUCGGAGGAUAAGGCCAAAGACGCACUUAUAUUAUCCAUCACCUUCACAUCGCUGGCGGUGUUUUUUGUAUCCGCUCGUCUUUACACACGGGGAUUUUUGGUGAAAAAGAUCGGUUCUGACGAUUGGACGUGCUUAGUGUCUUUGAUUCUCUCCCUUGGAUUCAUGAGAUUGUUCAUUGGCGAAUGGAAAUCCGGACUGGGUGGUAAUAGGAGUGAAAUCACAUUUGAAACGUUCAAACAACAGGUGAUCCUCCUUUGGGCAUCUAUCCCAAUCUAUAACGCUAGCCUCUUUUGCACCAAAGCAUCCAUCGCCUUACAGUACCACCGAAUAUUCCCAGGGAGUCGGAUACGUAUAGCCUGCUCUGGUGCUCUAAUUUUCUUAAUAAUAUACGGCUUGUGGGUGGUUGUAGGGUCAUUUCUCACAUGCGUUCCAGUAAGAAGAUUCUGGGAUGACAUGGUAGAAGGUAGCUGCUUGAAUAGGGAUGCAUUCUGGCUAUCCACAGCGAUCGUGCACAUCGUUACAGAUGUCGUCUUGCUUGCGAUGCCCAUGCCGAUUCUCAUCAGGCUAAAUAUUCCUAAAAGGAAGAGAAUCGCUCUCGUGCUAGUUUUCGCUCUAGGAGGAUUUGUUUGCAUCACAAGUGGUCUUCGUCUUGAGAGCCUUCGUCAACUUGCGAGAUCAGAUGACCUAGUAGAACAUAAUGCGGCAGCGGCCUCCUGGUCAGCUGUUGAAUGUAAUGUCGCAAUAAUAUGUUGUUCUCUUCCGACCCUACGGCCGCUGGUAACUCGUAUAUUCCCACUCAUAUUUCCAAAGACCGGCUAUGGUUAUGGUCGCAACUCUAAACGGAAAAUCCCUUGUCUACCAAGGUGGUUUGCGUCUCACGAGUCUCAAGAAAGAAUCGACCAGGAAUAUGCCAUGGAAUUUUUACAGAAACUGUCCAGCGAUGA